AUGCUUCAGCAGCACAUAUACUAAAACUGGACUGAUAUAGAGAAGCUUAGCAUAGCCCAUGCACAAGGAUGACACAUAAAUUCAUGAAUCAUUCCACAUUUUU
ensembl:snRNA U6 U6 spliceosomal RNA